AGGGUCAGCCGGAUAAUCGCGGAAACUUUGUUUCUGAGGAAAGUCCGAGCUCCAAAGGGCAGGACGCCGGGUAACGCCCGGGCAGGCAGACGAAAGUCAUGUCUGACAGAUAGUGCAACAGAAAAUACACCGCCGUAUAUUUACUGUUCGUAUGCUUUUUUAAGCAUUUACGAACCUUGAUUUGGUAAAAUAACGGUAAGGGUGAAAUGGCGGGGUAAGAGCCCACCAGCGGUCAGGCAACUGGCUGGCUUUGAAAACCUCAUCCGGAGCAAGACCAAAUAGGGAAGAUACGGGGCUGCCCGCCUCUCUUCCGGGUUGGUCGCUUGAGGCAUAUAGCAAUAUAUGUCCCAGAUAGAUGAUUAUCGGCAACCCGAAAGGGUUGUUACAGAACUCGGCUUACAGGCUGGCCCUGCUG
rnacentral:RNase_P_RNA from 1 species